AUUGAACGCUGGCGGCAGGCUUAACACAUGCAAGUCGAGCGGGGGAAGGUAGCUUGCUACUGGGCCUAGCGGCGGACGGGUGAGUAAUGCUUAGGAAUCUGCCUAUUAGUGGGGGACAACAUCUCGAAAGGGAUGCUAAUACCGCAUACGUCCUACGGGAGAAAGCAGGGGAUCUUCGGACCUUGCGCUAAUAGAUGAGCCUAAGUCGGAUUAGCUAGUUGGUGGGGUAAAGGCCUACCAAGGCGACGAUCUGUAGCGGGUCUGAGAGGAUGAUCCGCCACACUGGGACUGAGACACGGCCCAGACUCCUACGGGAGGCAGCAGUGGGGAAUAUUGGACAAUGGGGGGAACCCUGAUCCAGCCAUGCCGCGGGUGUGAAGAAGGCCUUAUGGUUGUAAAGCACUUUAAGCGGGGAGGAGGCUACUCUAGUUAAUACCUAGGGAUAGUGGACGUUACUCGCAGAAUAAGCACGGGCUAACUCUGUGCCAGCCGCCGCAGUAA
rnacentral:rRNA from 1 species